rnacentral:tRNA from 1 species
GGGAGUCUGGCCGAGUGGUUAAGGCGCUGUGUUUAGGUGGGGCGAAAGCCCAUCUUGACGUUCUAUUAGGACUGAAAAUCCGCAGUGGGAAACCGCGCAGGUUCGAAUCCUGCGGCUCUCA